AUGACAUUUUACUAUGGCUAAUAAUAUCUCCAAACUGCAGCCCUCGCGUUUGGAGUACUUUCUAGAAUCCCAGCAAAACACACAGACGUCAGCCAAAGAAGGCGGCCUUGUUCUUCUGUGCUGAAAAAUUGCAUUUCAAGGUUCAACGCAGAGAUAUAGCCAAAAAAGGUGUAAGAGCUGAUAUUUACUGGAGAUGAGAAGCGAGGCCCAGUGCAGGUAAAUUAUCCCUGCAUCUUGGAGGAUUCAGCCAGAACUAAAAGCAAGGAACCUACAAAUGUCCUAGAGAAAUGAUUCCU
rnacentral:lncRNA from 1 species